rnacentral:rRNA from 1 species
CCCUAGUAAUGGCGAAUGAACAGGGAAAAGCCCAAUUUUAAAAUCACCUAACCGUGAAUUGUAGUUUAUAAGAGUGUAGAACUGUGCUGCCUUGCCUUAAGUCUCUUGAAAAAGAGCUACAGAGAGGGUGAAAUUCCCGUUUUGGUGCAAGUAGUAGUAUGGAACUUAUCUCUAAAGAGUCAUGUUGCUUGAGAAUGCAGCAUAAAAUGGGUGGUAAAUUCCAUCUAAGGCUAAAUACUGGUAAGAGUCCGAUAGUAAACAAGUACCUUAAGGGAAAGAUGAAAGAGAACCUUGAAAAGGGUCUCAAAAGAAAGUGAAAUUGUUAUAAGGAAACCGCUUAAAACUUCUGGAAUCUGUGCAUCAGUUAAUGGGGGAGCAAUCCCUUUGCUAUUGGUGUAUGGGUGGCUAUUGCUCGGGUUUGAGCUUAUGAGGAUUAGAAGGGAAGGUAAGUUGAAUUUCGGUUUAACUUCUUAAAGCCCUUUUAGUCUGAUAAAGUUUGGGCCAGUGUAGAAAGUCAUACGGUGGCUAGCUCUUGAAUUAAACUUUAUAAUAGACUUGUGCUAGAGUAUUGUUUGAGUUAAGGCCUAGUACUGCCACAUGCUUUAAUAGUUAAGAAGACUUAAGCGACCCGUCUUGAAACACGGACCAAGGAGUCUAACAUAUAUGCAAGUAUUAUGGUUUUAAACCAGGCUGCGCAAUGAAAGUAAUUUCAAGGUAGGAUCCCGCAAGGGUGCACUAUCGACCGAGCUAUAGGG